CCUACGGGAGGCAGCAGUAGGGAAUAUUGCUCAAUGGGGGAAACCCUGAAGCAGCAACGCCGCGUGAAGGAUGAAGGUGUUAGGAUUGUAAACUCCUUUUUUUAGAGAAGUAAAAGGCGGUAUCUAUCGCAUAAGCCACGGCUAACUCCGUGCAAGCAGCCGCGGUAAUACGGAGGGUGCAAGCGUUACUCGGAAUCACUGGGCGUAAAGCGCGCGUAGACGGGAUAGCAAGUCAGAUGUGAAAUCCUUGGGGUUAACCAUAGAACUGCAUUUGAAACUGUUAUUCUAGAUGAUGGUAGAGGUAGGUGGAAUUCUUGGUGUAGGGGUAAAAUCCGUAGAGAUCAAGAGGAAUACUCAGUGCGAAGGCGACCUGCUAGAACAUAACUGACGCUGAUGCGCGAAAGCGUGGGGAGCAAACAGGAUUAGAUACCCCAGUAGUC
rnacentral:rRNA from 1 species